AUGAACGUAUGAUUAACUUUAGACCAAUCAAUAUAUUAAGGGUAAUUGUGGAAUUUUAUAUAUAACUAUUUUAAUAGUUAAAAAUAAAUAGCAUUUAUGUUACUUAAAUCAUGGGACAAUUAUCUUUUUAGCCUAAAUACCCAUUUUUACUUAUUUCUUGAAGACAUCGUCUUCUUUAUCCACAACAAACAUCAUCGGCUUUAUUUCCUUACCCCUCCUCACACCGGCCGGUUGCUUCUUCCCCUUCGCACACUGACCACCACCAUCUGCUUCUUCUCUUUUGUCGCCGCCGAUCAAGAUAGUAGCAAGUACGCUUAUUUAUUAUUUUCUUUUUUCUUUUGGCUCAAAUUGUUAUUUUUUUUGCUUCUUCCUGUGUUUUCUUCUCUCGGUUUCAUGAGAAAUCAAGAUUCAUUGAUUAUUUAGAGUUUUUAUUUGGAAGUCCAUCAAUUAUGUAUUUGUAUUCGGAAGUAGAAGGGACGGAUCGAGCGCGGCAAAGGAGAAAAAAGAAAAAAAAAAGAAUAUAUCAUGCCUAAUGAAGAUGAGAGAAAAAAAAGAUCACUUUCAAUAAAGAAAUAUAUGUUUAGAAUCUUAUCCUACCAGUUUGUGAUAUAAAGAAUCAACAACGAUGUCACCAUCAUCAUCUUCUGCAACAUCUACAAAGAACAACUACACACCUUGAUUGACAAAAAAAAUAAAAAAGAUCUACCAUGAUCGCUAUCCUUGUAUGCCAAAAAAUCAAUGAUCUUUUACACAAUUGUUACAAAUUAUAGACGUAAUUUCCAUUGGUUUCGUGAUUACAAAUCACAAACCUUAUAAUCAUUUUUAAUCGUUUCACAAGUUUGAUUUCCAUAUUUUCUGAUAUCGAGUUUACUCUUUUAGACUGAAGUUAUAGAUUGUCAGAUUUUGUACUUGUAACAGCACAGGUUUGAUUUGUAGUUAGUCAGAUUUUGUACUUGUAAUUUACAUUCUUCUUUUAUUUUGAUGUAUUUUUCUUAAAGAAUGUCUUUUAUUUUUUGAACAAAGUAAAACUGUUCUUAAAGAAUGUCAUAUAUACUUUUGUAAUU